GAUGAUCGCUGGCGGCGUGCCUAAUACAUGCAAGUCGAGCGAACAGAUAAGGAGCUUGCUCCUUUGACGUUAGCGGCGGACGGGUGAGUAACACGUGGGUAACCUACCUAUAAGACUGGAAUAACUCCGGGAAACCGGGGCUAAUGCCGGAUAACAUUUAGAACCGCAUGGUUCUAAAGUGAAAGAUGGUUUUGCUAUCACUUAUAGAUGGACCCGCGCCGUAUUAGCUAGUUGGUAAGGUAACGGCUUACCAAGGCAACGAUACGUAGCCGACCUGAGAGGGUGAUCGGCCACACUGGAACUGAGACACGGUCCAGACUCCUACGGGAGGCAGCAGUAGGGAAUCUUCCGCAAUGGGCGAAAGCCUGACGGAGCAACGCCGCGUGAGUGAUGAAGGUCUUCGGAUCGUAAAACUCUGUUAUUAGGGAAGAACAAAUGUGUAAGUAACUAUGCACGUCUUGACGGUACCUAAUCAGAAAGCCACGGCUAACUACGUG
rnacentral:rRNA from 1 species